UACGGAGGGUGCAAGCGUUAUCCGGAUUCACUGGGGUUAAAGGGUGCGUAGGUGGGUUGGUAAGUCAGUGGUGAAAUCUCCGUGCUUAACAUGGAAACUGCCAUUGAUACUACUGAUCUUGAAUUUUCUGGAGGUAAGCGGAAUAUGUCAUGUAGCGGUGAAAUGCUUAGAUAUGACAUAGAACACCAAUUGCGAAGGCAGCUUGCUACAGGGAUAUUGACACUGAGGCACGAAAGCGUGGGGAGCAAACAGG
rnacentral:rRNA from 1 species